rnacentral:lncRNA from 1 species
ACCCCGGGGAGAGCUGAUCCCGGACAGGGGUUCGGAGGAGGAAGCUCCCUGGUGAAGUCCCGGGAUGCGAGUGGACCCGGAGUCCCCUACCGCAGCCCGCGUACGACCCCAGGAAGCCUGUCUCCGCGGCCCCCGACCCACGUCCCCGCUGCCGCCGCGCUGCCAGGUAGCCCGAGGGUCGCAGGAGAAAGGAAGGGAGAGCGGGACGGGAGGAGGAGGGUGGAGCCGCCGGCGGGUCCCCUCCCUCGGGCAGGCAGGCAGGCGGGCGGCAGCAGAGAAGGCAGCGGGCGGGGGGAGACAUCGGCCGUCCGCGCCGCUUCGCUCCUGCUCAGGCAGCGGCUUCUGCCCGACCCGCUCUGCCUCAGGCGCGCACCUGCCGGGUAAGUGGCGCCUGAGUCCCUGCAGCCGUGGCCACUUCCGUCACUUUCGUAGCCACUGCGCGGAGCCUCCCGGCUUUGUCUGCGUCCAUCCACCAGCUGCGACUCCCAGGCUCGGCUCUGGGGCUCCAUGGACUGCGCGCCGCGCCUGCAUGGCUCUGGGCUCGCCU